rnacentral:rRNA from 1 species
UGGGGAAUUUUGGACAAUGGGGGAAACCCUGAUCCAGCCAUCCCGCGUGUGCGAUGAAGGCCUUCGGGUUGUAAAGCACUUUUGGCAGGAAAGAAACGUCGCGGGUUAAUACCCCGCGAAACUGACGGUACCUGCAGAAUAAGCACCGGCUAACUACGUGCCAGCAGCCGCGGUAAUACGUAGGGUGCAAGCGUUAAUCGGAAUUACUGGGCGUAAAGCGUGCGCAGGCGGUUCGGAAAGAAAGAUGUGAAAUCCCAGAGCUUAACUUUGGAACUGCAUUUUUAACUACCGGGCUAGAGUGUGUCAGAGGGAGGUGGAAUUCCGCGUGUAGCAGUGAAAUGCGUAGAUAUGCGGAGGAACACCGAUGGCGAGGGCAGCCUCCUGGGAUAACACUGACGCUCAUGCACGAAAGCGUGGGGAGCAAACAGGAUUAGAUACCCUGGUAGUCCACGCCCUAAACGAUGUCAACUAGCUGUUGGGGCCUUCGGGCCUUGGUAGCGCAGCUAACGCGUGAAGUUGACCGCCUGGGGAGUACGGUCGCAAGAUUAAAACUCAAAUGAAUUGAC